GCCGUUGAUGUUGUUUGUAUAUUAAUAGAGGCGAGGUCUGUUCUUUAAGCUCUUGCCUUUAAUUUUCUCGAGUUUGGGAAGGAUGGCCUUGGAAUAUUGGUUUCUCGAGUUUGCAUUUGCUCAAGUUUUUGGUCACGCAGACAACCUUAGAGUCCACAGUAGCGAUGUUUUAGCAAGCCCAAAUGAUCAAGGACACGUCCAAGAAUGUCUCGAGAGCUUGAAGGAUGCAAAAGAGGGGCUUGCUGGAAUAUUGCCAAAUUAAAGAAGAAGCAUGUCCAAAUGGGUUCCAAAUGCCUCUUCAUCACUUCCCAAGGCAGAUUAUGAGAAAAUGGAGGCCGAGUGGAAGCUUGACCUGCUUCGCAAGGAAUACGCCCUAGAUGAGAAAAGGGCAUCUGCCAUAUAUUCAUUCCUGUGGCCAGAUCACCCUUGAAACAUUUUCUUCCCAUGAACUAACCUUUUCCUAGGCACUAGCAGGACAAGAAGCAAGUGAACCACCCCACUUCCUGUAAUGAGUCCAUGUUGGAAAUCUUUAGAUUUAGCAGUGAAGUUGAAGCAAAGUCUCCGUUCCCUGUGUUGGAUUUUGCAAGUUAUCAUAAAUAAACGUACUAUCAGUUAUGAAUAUGAUUAUGGGGAGGACUGGAAUUAGAAGCAGGAUAAGCUUGAAUAAUGGGGGUGUGGAUAAAUAUUUUAGAAAUUUAAUCUGCUGUUGACUCUAGGCAGAGAGGACUUUACGUGCUGUAGACCGCAGAGCAAAAGGAAGGCAGUUCUAAUCCGAAAAGCUCCAAAAGAAGAUAUACCAAAGAGCGAGUCAAUCAUAAAAAAAAAAAAAAGAGAGAGAGAGAGACUUGUCAUUACAAGGAAUAUUAUGUGAGAGCCGUGCUGUAUGUGAUGGAAAAUUAUUGAGAUACCCAUCUCUUGCAGCUGACACGUGUGUACGAGCUUACAAGUAGAAGGUGUUGUUCGCAAGGAAGUUAGGUUCGAGCUCUGUGAUUGCUCAUAUGAUGGCCACUGGAGGCUUACAUAGUCGUUAACUUCAGGGCCCGUGAGAUUAGUCGAGGUACGCGCAAGCUGACCCGGACACCCACGUUAAACUAAAAAAAAACAUGGAAAUCAACUAUCUAGGUAGUGGUUAAGUGAUAAAAAUUUAGAAUUAAGAGGUUUGUUUCUUCUAUAGUCUUAGAAUCAAACCUUGUAGUUGCUCAUAUGAUAGCUACUGAAAGCUUACAUGGUCGUUAACUUUAGGGCCCAUGAGAUUAGUCGAGGUGCGCGCAAGCUGGUCCGGAUACUCACGUUAAACUAAAAAAAACAUGGAAAUCAAACCCUUAUGGGUGUACCUUAAUUGAUUAGACUAUAUGUUUAUUUUUUAAAGGUCAUCAAUUCAAGUUUCACAAAUUUCAGACUAUUGAAGGUUUACAUGGUUAUUAACUUCAGGGCCCGUAAAAUUAAUCGUAGUAUGCAUAAGUUGGCCGGGACACCCACGUUAAUAAAAAAAAAACUUGGAAAUCGUUAUAUAGCUUCAUUGUGAUGCGCUUUUUUUCUUCUUCAUUUUUAUUUCUCAAUUUCAUCAUCUUUUUUUUUUUUAUCAAUUGUUUGGAUUGUUCUUGAACCAGCCAAGUUAGUUGGAUUAUGUCAGAACAACUUUCACAUGGUUUAAUUUUAAACCUAGGCUAAGAAAGGAGAUAGAUCGAGGGUUUGUUUGUUUUUUUUUUUUGUCAAUUUCAUCAUAAUUAUUUUUUUAUUGGUUAGCUAGGUUACUUUUUGACAUACCAAGUCGACUAAAUCACGUCAAAACAACUCUCACAAUGUUUAGUUUUAAAGCCAAGUCAAGCCAAGCAAAAAUUUGGAUUGAGAAUUUUUUUUGUCAAUUUUUUUCUUCUUAAUUUCUACUUCAAACUGUUUUUUUACUAGUUAACCAAGUUAUUUUUUGACCGACCAAGGCGAU